rnacentral:tmRNA from 1 species
GGGGCUGACUUGGAUUUCGACAGAUUUCUUGUCGCACAGAUAGCAUGCCAAGCGCUGCUUGUAAAACAGCAAUAAAAAUAACUGUAAACAACGCAGAUUACGCUCCAGCUUACGCUAAAGCUGCGUGAGUUAAUCUCCUUUUGGAGCUGGAUUGAUUAGAAUUUCUAGCGUUUUAAUCACUCCAUAACCUUAAGCUAGACGCUUUUAAAAGGUGGUUCGCCUUUUAAACUAAGAAACAAGAACUCUUGAAACUACCUCAAGGUUUUAGAAAGUUGGACCAGAGCUAGUUUUAAGGCUAAAAAACUAACCAAUUUUCUAAGCAUUGUAGAAGUUUGUGUUUAGGACAAGAUUUUUGGACUGGGGUUCGAUUCCCCACAGCUCCACCA